rnacentral:lncRNA from 1 species
AGGACCGGCUCAGAUGUCUUUACUUGCUGUGUAAGUGUUGUUCUUUGGCUGUUAGCAAUAAAUCUUGUUGCUGCUCACUCUUGGGUCUGCGCCGACUUUGUGAGCUGUAACACUCACUGCCAAGGUCUGCAGCUUCACUCCUGAAGCCGGCUAGACCACGAGCCCACCAGAAGGAAGAAACUCUGGACACAUCUAAACAUCUGAAGGAACAAACUCCCGACACACUAUGUUUAAGAACUGUAACACUCACCGUGAGGGUCUGCGGCUUCAUUGUUGAAGUCAGCAAGUUGGAGAACCCACCAAUUCCGGUCACACUACCAGUGUGGUAGCCUAAGUUUGAUUCGUUGUCAAUGGACAAUCCUCCACCUCUGAGAAGCUUUCUAUGAUUACUUCAGAUGAAGGACUCAGCAAGAACUAGGCACUCUGCAACCCAGAAGAGAGUUCUCGCCAGAAACCAAUCAUGCUGGCACUUGGAUCUAGGACUUCAAGCUUCCAGAAAUUUGUGGAAUAAGUUUCUGCUGUUUAUAAGCCACCAAGUCUAUGAUAAUGUGUCAGAGGACUGAGCUAAGACAUAAAGUGAGCUAGAGUUAAGAUUUAAGAUCUAUUUGUUACAAUAAAAUUCAAAAUAGUCGUAUAAAUGUUUAAAUGCAACAUCUCAAAAAUCGUAACAUGUUCUUACAUUUAGAGAAUUAGUACAGAAAUAUUAAGUCAACAAAAUUUCUAACAUUAAAUUGAUGUCUACUUGU